AUUGAACGCUGGCGCCAUGCCUUACACAUGCAAGUCGAACGGCAGCAUGGAGAGCUUGCUCUCUGAUGGCGAGUGGCGAACGGGUGAGUAAUGCAUCGGAACGUACCGUGUAAUGGGGGAUAACGUAGCGAAAGUUACGCUAAUACCGCAUACGACCUGAGGGUGAAAGCAGGGGAUCGCAAGACCUUGCGUUAUACGAGCGGCCGAUGUCAGAUUAGCUAGUUGGUGAGGUAAAGGCUCACCAAGGCGACGAUCUGUAGCGGGUCUGAGAGGAUGAUCCGCCACACUGGGACUGAGACACGGCCCAGACUCCUAUGGGAGGCAGCAGUGGGGAAUUUUGGACAAUGGGGGCAACCCUGAUCCAGCCAUGCCGCGUGAGUGAAGAAGGCCUUCGGGUUGUAAAGCUCUUUCGGCCGGGAAGAAAUCGCACAGGCUAAUACUCUGUGUGGAUGACGGUACCGGCAUAAGAAGCACCGGCUAACUACGUGCCAGCAGCCGCCGUAA
rnacentral:rRNA from 1 species